UGUAUGAAUAACCAGCCAACUUUAUUGAUUUCUCAGCAAAAUUAUGUUCAGGUGUCUUAUGUUUUGAUCGGGCCAGUCAGAGCUCUUGCAUCCUCAUUGUAGGUCUGCAGAAUGGCCUUCAGGAGCAGUCUGGGUACUCGAGCGCACACUAGAACAGAAAUAAGUGAAAAUAUUUUAUUAGAAUGCUUGGUUAAUUUUGACAUUUAUCCUCUGGCACCUUCUAAAGAAACUAGCUCUGAGAGUGUACAAUACUGUAGGAUCUUAACAUUUAAAACAAAGCUAUGUAACAAUUGGGCGAAGGCAGGAUUUCUCAUUUAACAGCCAAGUAGUAAAUGGUCAAAAAUGAACUGGUGCCCUGUACUUUUCCUUUCAGUGAUCCUUCUUAGUUACCAACAUUUACUCUAAUGCAAAGUUAGUAAUCUGCCAACUAUUGGUUGAUUCUCUGCCCAAAAUGUAUUAAGUCUACAAACUCACUUCUCUAUCAAGAACUAUACACAGCUUUUAAACAAAGUACCAGUACCUGCAUUUCUUCUAGUGAAGUCAUUAAUUGUCAUUGUUUUUAAGUUACAUUUUUUAGUGCUUUUUAAAGCGCUAUAUAAAUAAAAUCCUGGUUUCACACCACUCACCUCUGGAAGUAAAGUCAAACCAGAUGAGCUACCUGGAGAUGCGUCUCCAGAGUGCCAACCCUGUUCAGAGACAAGUUUUGCUUGUUUAGUUCUUCCAAAAAACAUUUUUGCCAUCAACGGGUCAAAUAAGGAGUCAUGAGAAGAAAUUGUUUACAGGAGGCAAAGGGGGAAGUGCCCCUUUGCAUUUAUAAGGUUGAAUGUGGCUCAGGUCACUAUCAAACGCCAGUCAAGGGACAGCAGUCCUCAUGGUGUUAGCGAAAACCCGGCCAUGUCACUCUGGCACACUUCCGACACCUAAACACCCACAAGAUUGGUGCAAGGCUUUAAUUGUGUGCUGUAUGUUGAAGUUUAAUGAAAUAAGCCCUGCGUUGAGUAAACAUUAAGUGCAGUAAUAAUUAGCAAAACGCUAAAAUAGUCUAGUAGUACAAAUGCACAAGAGAGUCAGUCAACCAAAGCUGUUGUAUUGAAAGUAGAAAAUAGGAGUGACAGAUUAAAAAGUGUCAGGUUCUUUUAUCAGAACGACAUCAAUAUGCCAACAAAAGCAAUGGUUCCCCCCCCCCAACUUUCCACAACAUAGCAACUUAAAUAGUACACAUCUUAAAGUGAUUCAUUUGAUAUCGGCAAUUUCAAUGGUUCACCAUUUUCCACCAACAAAAUAGUGGUUAUUUUUGACCCAACUGAGGCUCUAGCAGCAAGAAACAUGUGUACUUCAUUUAGUAGUUUAGUUGCAACUUCUAAUUUGGCACUACUUAAAUAUGACUCAAAUUUGCUUAUUUUUCAUUAACUAACCAGUUCCUUGUCGGCCACAAUGGACCCUGCUGCGGUCAACGGGUCUUCAUCCUGUUACAGCACAAUCCUGGAGGGAAAAACACACACGCAAAUUACAUACCACAAACAUUAGAAUAAACAGUUCAAGCAAGGACCUACAAGUAGAGGGUUUAAGGUAAAGUCUCAAACUUGUGCAGGAGCAUAAGCCAUUUUUCACACCGUACCACUACACGAUUAGCCUGUACAUCAGUUCAAGAAAUCCCUCUUUAAAUAAAAUCGUUCUCUUUUGCGUUUGAUUCAACAAACUUUUCAGCGUCAAGACUCACAGGCUUUCUUCAUGCGUGGACAAAGACAUCUGGAAGCCCAACUGGGUUCCUGCAGACAGGACCUUCAGCUCAUCCUUGAUCAGCUUAACAACCAGACAUCACGUCCGAGUAGUGGGAGAGCUGGAAGGAAAAGGGGAAAUGAAAAAAGGGUUAGUCUUUGUUAAACACGAAAACACGAGUACAAAAAUGAAGGAUGAGAAUACCACUGCUGAGAGAAACGCGAGGACGCUCCAGGACAUGGUUACAUUUACAAAUCUCCGUAACUCUUGAUGCGACACGUGGCCAAAUAGCCACAGAAGACAGGCCCGCGCAAGCUAUUAAAAGUUUUUAAAAAAUGCGUAAGAAAAAGGAUAUAUCGACCACGUUUGGUGGUCAAAUCUAUUCGAUAUGAAGGUGUAUUCCAUAUGGAAAGCGCAUAUUAAAUAUUUUUAUAAAAGGAUUGUGACAUGCAAAUACCAAACGCUUGUUAUUUAAAUCGAAUACAAACCGGGACCUUUUUAGUAUUCAAUUAAACGGGUUACUUACAUUUACACUUUACAAUCUACACUUAAGGACGUACUAUGUAAGUAACGUAUGUUAAUGAGUGAGUCAGUUUCACAGACUCGACGGCAACGAACGUUAAUUAUCUAUAGUUGAGCAAUACGGUGACGACUUUACUGACACGUGAAUGUAAAAGAAAACAGUGCCGAAAACCAUUUGUAUCUCACCAAGUGAACGCGCUGCGUUGCCAUGAGGUCGCCGCGGAGAGAGAGGCGGCGAACGGAAGUAACGUCGAACUUAUAGCGGAUCUACUUCCGCAUGACGUAUUACAUUCGCGCCCUGAGUCCUGCCUGUCAGGUGCCAGCGGGCAGCCUGAGCCCCUGAGACUGCG
ensembl:lncRNA